GAAAACCAUCUCGUAUUUUACGAAAAUAGUUCACUGAAACGUGUUUCUGAAAACAUUUUAAGCGAGAAACAGGCCAAACAGUUGCUGAAUCUGUCUUCGUUUCAGAUUGACAAAGGCCUGUUUGAAAGAUUUACUCUACUUCUAUUGGAUGGUUGCGUCGCGUUCAACGGAUUAAUUUGCAUAAAGAUGGGCAUCAGCAAUCUUUUUGGAUUGGUAUGAUUCGUUCAAAUGCUGCGCUGCCGUCCCAGGAUGCUUUGCGGGCGCUUUAAAGUCGCUUUAUUUCGCCCAUAGGAAUAAAGUGGAGCGCGGCGCAACAGAAGCAUCCC